CCCGACGCCCCAACGUGGAAGGGUAAAUAUUGAAAAAAAACAACUUAGGAUUCCUGAUGCAAAUUUACAACACAGAAUAAUAUAUAACAGAGAGGUGGAAGGGUGUAAAAUGAAAUAAAGAAAAAUAAAGGAUUCCUGAUGUAAAAUCUCAGUCCUGUAAAGGAAACAAAAUUAAUCGCAUGCUCUUCUAAAGGAAAGAAUUGCACGGUACCAAAUCCUCGCCCCCGACGCCCUCGCACUCGCCCUCACCCGACGUCUCGCCCUCGCCCGACGUCUCGCCCUCGCCCGACGUCGCACCUCUUCCUCCAUCGUCCUCUCGCCCGACGUUGCACCUCUUCCUCCAUCGUCCUGGGUCCUCGUCGACGCCCUCGCCCCCGACGCCCGUAGGUCGACCUGCGUUGCCAGGUCAGGAGGCUCGCCCUCCGCCACCGACGACCGACGCCCUCGCCCUUCACCC
rnacentral:lncRNA from 1 species